AGUGAACGCUGGCGGUAGGCCUAACACAUGCAAGUCGAACGGCAGCACAGUAAGAGCUUGCUCUUACGGGUGGCGAGUGGCGGACGGGUGAGGAAUACAUCGGAAUCUACUUUUUCGUGGGGGAUAACGUAGGGAAACUUACGCUAAUACCGCAUACGACCUACGGGUGAAAGCAGGGGAUCUUCGGACCUUGCGCGAUUGAAUGAGCCGAUGUCGGAUUAGCUAGUUGGCGGGGUAAAGGCCCACCAAGGCGACGAUCCGUAGCUGGUCUGAGAGGAUGAUCAGCCACACUGGACCUGAGACACGGUCCAGACUCCUAGGGGAGGCAGCAGUGGGGAAUAUUGGAAAAGGGGCGAAAGCCUGAUCCAGCCAUACCGCGUGGGUGAAGAAGGCCUUCGGGUUGUAAAGCCCUUUUGUUGGGAAAGAAAAGCAGCAGGUUAAUACCCCGCUGUUCCGACGGUACCCAAAGAAUAAGCACCGGCUAACUUCGU
rnacentral:rRNA from 1 species